UACGUAGGACCCAAGCGUUAUCCGGAGUGACUGGGCGUAAAGAGUUGCGUAGGCGGCUCGUUAAGUGGAUAGUGAAACCUGGUGGCUCAACCAUACAGACUAUUAUCCAAACUGGCGAGCUCGAGAAUGGUAGAGGUAGCUGGAAUUUCUAGUGUAGGAGUGAAAUCCGUAGAUAUUAGAAGGAACACCGAUGGCGUAGGCAGGCUACUGGACCAUUUCUGACGCUAAGGCACGAAAGCGUGGGGAGCGAACCGG
rnacentral:rRNA from 1 species